rnacentral:rRNA from 1 species
AUUGAACGCUGGCGGCAUGCCUUACACAUGCAAGUCGAACGGUAACAGGUCUUCGGAUGCUGACGAGUGGCGAACGGGUGAGUAAUACAUCGGAACGUGCCCGAGAGUGGGGGAUAACGAGGCGAAAGCUUUGCUAAUACCGCAUACGAUCUCAGGAUGAAAGCAGGGGACCGCAAGGCCUUGCGCUCACGGAGCGGCCGAUGGCAGAUUAGGUAGUUGGUGGGAUGAAAGCUUACCAAGCCAACGAUCUGUAGCUAGUCUGAGAGGACGACCUGCCAGGCUGGGACUGAGACACGGCCCAGACACUACCGGGAGGCAGCAUUUGGGAAUUUUGGAGAAUGGGCGCAAGCCUGAUCCAGCCAUGCCGCGUGCAGGAUGAAGGCCUUCGGGUUGUAAGCUGCUUUUGUACGGAACGAAAAGGCUCUGGUUAAUACCUGGGGUCCAUGACGGUACCGUAAGAAUAAGCACCGGCUAACUACGUGCCAGCCGCCGCAGUAAAAC